UUUCAAUUUCUCCCGUGUUAGUUCAUCACUGGCCUUCGCCCUUCCCGCAUCAAUUCAUCAAUCAUCACUGUGCCAAUGUGCCUUCGCCCUUCUUUCUAGCAUCACCUUCUCUAACUAGUCUAGAUUUGUAUGUUUUUUGUUAUUUCUAGAUUGAUUUUUUUUUUUGCUCAAAUUUUUGUUUUUCUAUUAAAGAGUUGUAAAUUUUUUGUUUUUCUAUUUGGACAUUGAGCAUGAACAUUCGGCAUGCAUUAACAAAGGUUUCUUGGGUCCUUUGUUUUUUUUUUUAAAUUAAAAAUUAGUUGUCUGUUAUAUACCAUGACAUGUAAAUUGUAAUACCGAGGUUAGCAUUGAGAUAAGAAUAGGGCAAUUUACAGGGCAUCAGGACACCUAAAACAUCUGUGCUUUGGCCAUAUUUGUCGGAAGCAGUCGUGCUAAAAAAUGAUCAUGUCCUUUGGUUAUGUUCUUUAUCAAGCCAAAACCAAGAUAGUUUCACUGCCUAAUUUUUAGAAGUCUUUCCCUGGUUAUGUCCUUUGUUUUUUUUUUUUUAUUACCUCUCAUUUGGUGAUUAAUUAUAAAAUUAUAACCUGCAUGUCGAUGAACCUAUGUUCACUGAAAAUUGGCGAACUAUUGACUAUGGGCUAACCUUUUGUCAAGUUUUUUUUUUGAGCGGCCAGUAGUUGUGUGGUUGUAUAGGUAGCUUAUUGGCUUUUCCCCUCAUCCGCCCAUCCCUUCCUUUUUUUUUUUUUUUGCUGUUCAUAUUUGUAAUCUGCAACUAGUGUGAUUUGUCUUUCAAGUUUGUUAAUAUUUCUUGUAAUCAAGUCUUCUGUGGUUGUGUUAUUCGUUAAUAGUUACUUGCUUAUAAAUCUGGAACCAUGUUUUUGUUUUUCUUUACAUACUGAUUUUAGAUGUGGAUGAGCUCCCUUGUUCUAUAGAUUUUGACAUUGUCAGAGUCCAAUAGCAAGUUUAAUCAUUUUGUGAAUUGGUUUCAACCUGUCUUAUUUUAGUAUUAAUUAAAACUUUAAAUUAAGUUCUUCAAUGAGUUAAUAAUUUUAUAGUUGAUAUUGAUUUUCAAAAAACUUGAACUGGUUGAUAAUUUUUUAAUUAAUUAAUUGAUGAAUUUAACAAAUAUUAUAGUCUUUGCAUUCCCACAAGAAACCUUAGUUACUAUUGGCCUCAUUGAUCAUCAAUAUAGUUUCAAAAAUGAAUGUAACAAUGUAAAAUUUUGCCUAGUUACAUGAAUGACUAUGGGGAUUGGUGCAUUUGCUCUGAUUCCAAGUUUAUUUUUAUAGUAGUUUAUACUUGUAUUUGUGUGCUGUCAUGUACUCUUACAUAACUAAAUAAUCUUUACAUUCAAGCUAUAUAUGUAAAGUAUUUCUUUCAUUCAUAUAUAUGUCCUUGUGGGUGUGUGGAUAUCUAUUAAUAGUUGUAGUAAGCCAGCUUCAGAACGAUAUUAUAUUCCUUUCAUUUAAAAAAAUUAUUGAAAUUCUUAUUGCUUCAAAUGAGAUCCUUUUCAAGUACUGUCGAGCAUGUUAAAAUUUAGCUAUGCCUUGCCCGAACUCUUUUUACUAAAUUACCAUAUUAAAAUAUCUUUAGCCUUUUGGCAGUAAUAUGUGUUGUUCAUAUAUUUGCUAGUGAUUGAUUCUUGAAUUACAUAUUUGCUAAUCAAUUGAUUCUUUUUGAGUGGCAAAUUGAAAAUUUCAAUGGCAAGUCAAAGCGAAUAUCUAACUCUUACUCCUAGUGAUGCUACUACGCCUAGUGUUGCCAUAUCGUCAUCGUCACCAUAACUAACUACAUAACAAACUGCAAUCUCUACCAAUGAAAGUGAAGCUGUUCAUUCUAAGAAAAGGAAAGCACUUCCACCAAUGUCUGAAGUUUGGAAACACUUCACCAGAUUCAUCAAUAAUCAAGGCGAAAGUAAAGCUAGAUGUAAUUAUUGUGGUAGGGAACUUUCUGUUAAUACUAAAUAUAAUGGCACAAAUGCAUUAAAGAAUCACAUGAAUUCUUGCAAAAAGUUUUCUAGUGCUCUUGAUUAUAUUCAAAUUGAAUUAGCUUUUCAAUCGGAUGAUGGGUCAGCAGGAACAUGGAAAUUUAGUCAAGAAGCCAUUAAAAAGACUCUAGCUAAGAUGAUUGUUAAAGAUGAAUUGCCUUUUAGAUUUGCAGAAGGGAAAGGAUUUAAGGAAUUCAUGUCAACGUCAUGCCUUAGAUUUAUUGUGCCAUCACGAUGAACUGUUGCUAAAGAUUGCUAUAACUUGUUUAUUGAUAGAAAGAACCAUUUCAAGCAUAUAUUAAGAACAUAUUCUUUUCUAGUUUUUUUGACUAUAGACACAUGGGCAUCAAUUCAAAAAGUGAAUAAUAUGUGUCUUACGGCUAACUUCAUAGACAAUAAUUAGAAAUUGCACAAAAGAUUUUAAACUUUGUCUUGUUUAUAGUCACAAAGGUGAAGCUAUAGGGAAAACGAUUAAUAAAUGUUUGUGUGAUUGGGGGAUUUGUAAGAUUUCACUAUUACUGUUGAUAAUGCUAAUUCUAAUGACCCUGCAAUAGCUCAUAUGAAGAAAAAAUUGAACUUAUCAGGAAAUAGUUUAUUAGAAAGCAAAUUUCUACAUAUGAAAUGCAUUGCACAUAUCAUUAAUUUCAUUGUCAUUGAUGGAUUGAAGGAAAUGAAUGAUUCAAUUGCUUGUGUUAGAGAGGUAGUUAGAUUCAUGAGAUAGUCACCUACUAGGUUAGCAAAGUUCAAAAGAAUGUGUUAAGUCUGCAAAUAUUCAAUCAAAGAAUUUGUUGUGUUUGGAUGUUAGUAUUAGAUGGAAUUUCACUUACCUGUUAGAAACAACUCAAAAGUUUGAAACAACAUUUAAUUCAUUUGAGGAAGCCAAUCCUUGUUAUAGAACUAAUUUGUUGAUGGGAAAUGGGAUACUUAAACAUGAGGAUUGGGAAAAUGUUAAGAGGUUACAUAUUUUCUUGAAGCAUGAGGAUUGAGAAAAUGUUAAGAGGUUAAAUAUUUUCUUGAAACAUUUUUAUACACAUAGUAAAAGUUUUAGGUACUUCUUAUGCCAUUAUUAAUACUUUUCUUGAUGAUUUUUGUAGUGUUUAUUGCAUUUUGAGAAAUAGGCAAAGAAAUCUUGAAGUUGAGUUGCAAACAAUGGCAAAGAGAAUUAAAGAAAAAUUUGAUAAGUAUUAAGGAAAUAUAGAAAAAAUAAAUAAGUUGCUCUGUGUUGCCUCUAUUCUUAAUCCAAGGAGUAAACUUGUGUUUAUGGAGUUUUGUUUGCGAAAAAUGCAUUCGAAUGAGUAGGCUUUAUCGAUUUGUACAAGUUUGAAAAAAACAAUGAAAGAGUUGCUAGCUGAAUACCAAAAAAAGGUACAACCGUCUCUUUUUGAGAAAAUUGGUGACAAUAGCUAAUCCCAAGUGAGCCAAAUUUCAAAAGUUACUCAUAUUUUGACUCUAUUGCUAGUGUUGCUCUUCUGAAUGAACUUAAGAGAUCUAAGAUUGCAAUUAGUAGGGAAGAGGAUAAAUCAAAAUUGGAGAAGUAUUUGAGUUUAAAUGAGCCUGAUGUAACCGAUAACGAUGACUUCAAUGUUCUCAUUUUGUGGAAACUCAAUAAUCAUAGGUAUCCUACUCUUGCCUUACAAGUUCAUGAUGUAUUGGUGAUUCCUCCAUCCAUAAUUGCUUCGGAAUCAGUUUUUAGCACUGGUGGUUGGGUGCGUGCAGCAUAUAGGAGUUCUUUAAGUCCGAAGAUGGUGCAAGCCCUUAUUUGUGCUCAAGAUUGACUACAUUGAUCUUUUUACUAUCUUAGUGACACUGUGAAUGAUUUGGUAGAGCUUGAAAAAAUUGAUGAAAAUAAGUAUUUUAUUUAUAUCGUCAUUUCAUUUUUGUUGUUUCAAUUGUUAAUAUGUUAUUGCUUUAUUUCUUUUUUUUUUGUUUAAAGCUUAUUUUUUGUUUUUAUGUAUUUUAAAGUUGUCAAAGAUUGCAGUGGACCAUGUACUUGAUAAUCUUUGAG
rnacentral:lncRNA from 1 species